GACACUCAAAGACCCCGGUGCCACUAAGAGAAGCAAGCCAGGAAAUCUGCCAGCAGACCCUGGCCUGCCUUGACCCUGCCUGACAGAAGCAGGCAAAAUGGCUCUGGACAGGAAGAGCAGGCUGGUCCUGAGAGCAGAACUGGUCCCGCCCCCUCACCAGCUGCAGCACUCAGGAGUUGCAGGCCCUGCAUCUUGCCUCGACAGCACAAUAGAACCGACCCUAGUGUCGGCAGCAUGGGCAAGCCGGUCUGCGGGCAUGAGCAUGGGAGAGCCGGUCCUGCCUCUUGUCUGCUGUGUGGUAGUGUUGUCGAAGGAGAGAUCCCUUUUGCCCUCAUCACCUAUGGCAUGCAGGAAAGCUACCCCAGGAUCUUGAGAGUGGAAGAACUAGCCUUGUCCCUUCCUGGUUUCAGCAUCUGGGAGAGCUGGUCCUGCACCUUGCCUGGACAACAGGAUAAAACUGGUUCUGGUUGUGGAGACUACUUGUGAGUCGGCCCCAGAGGCUUGAGAGUAUGAGCAGGCUGACCAGCUCCGGUACCUCUCAGGCCCAGAUCCAGGGCUUUGACUCAGCCCACCCCAACAUCUACCCCAUCGAUGAACUGCUGGAGUGCAUCCAUAUGGAAAGAUUUUAUGGAGACCAAUAUGGGAAUUUUUAAAAUAAAACUAGAACCAUCCCGUG
rnacentral:lncRNA from 1 species